rnacentral:rRNA from 1 species
UACGAAGGGGGCUAGCGUUGCUCGGAAUUACUGGGCGUAAAGCGUCUGUAGGCUUCCUUCCACGUCUGGCGUAAAAGCACAGGAGCCCAACUCCGUGUAUGUGCCGGAAACGAGAGGGAUUGAGUCAUUCAGAGGUAUCUGGAAUGCCGUGUGUAGGGGUAAAAUCCGUAGAUCCACGGUGGAACGCCAAAAGCGAAAGCAGGAUACUGGGAAUGUACUGACGCUCAGAGACGAAAGCGUGGGGAGCAAAGGGG